CAGCCGCCACGGUAAUACGUAGGUGGCAAGCGUUGUCCGGAAUUAUUGGGCGUAAAGGGCUCGCAGGCGGUUUCUUAAGUCUGAUGUGAAAGCCCCCGGCUCAACCGGGGAGGGUCAUUGGAAACUGGGAAACUUGAGUGCAGAAGAGGAGAGUGGAAUUCCAUGUGUAGCGGUGAAAUGCGUAGAGAUGUGGAGGAACACCAGUGGCGAAGGCGACUCUCUGGUCUGUAACUGACGCUGAGGAGCGAAAGCGUGGGGAGCGAACAGGAUUAGAUACCCGCGUAGUCCCUGUCUCUUAUAC
rnacentral:rRNA from 1 species